CCUACGGGAGGCAGCAGUUGGGAAUCUUGCGCAAUGGGCGAAAGCCUGACGCAGCGACGCCGCGUGGAGGAUGACGGCCUUCGGGUCGUAAAGCUCUGUCAGAGGGGAAGAAAUGCAGGUGGUGAACAACCAUUCUGUUUGACGGUACCCUCAAAGGAAGCACCGGCUAACUCCGUGCCAGCAGCCGCGGUAAUACGGAGGGUGCGAGCGUUGUUCGGAAUUAUUGGGCGUAAAGCGCGUGUAGGCGGUUUGUUAAGUCGGAGGUGAAAGCCCCGGGAUCAACCUGGGAAGUGCAUCGGAUACUGGCAGACUGGAGUACGGGAGAGGAGAGUGGAAUUCCCAGUGUAGGAGUGAAAUCCGUAGAUAUUGGGAGGAACACCGGUGGCGAGGGCGGCUCUCGGGACCGAUACUGACGCUGAGACGCGAAAGCGUGGGGAGCAAACAGGAUUAGAUCCCCGGGUAGU
rnacentral:rRNA from 1 species